CACAUGCACGGGCUCGCCUCCUCUCCCUCUCGCCCAUUAAGUCGCCGCCGCCGCCGCCCACACCGGCCGCUUCCGGCGACCUCCAGCGUCGCGCAGCAUGCCCCCGAGCUCCCCACGGUCCGCGCCUCCCUUCCCUCCGGCUAGAUUCUCCGCUCCCGGACUCUACCGCACGCUCGCAACCCCACCCCGUGGCUAGGGUUUCGGGCAGGGCUUCGCCGGCGCGUCUCCGGCGACCCCAGAUGCAUAUGGAGCACGCCGUGAGAUUUCCCCAUCCACCACGGUCGCCGCCGUCAAGGGCUUCUUCACGGAUCUGGGACGCCAUGGACAUGCAGCUCCUCAAGGACUUUCUAUUGAAACAUCUUGUCCAUCAUGUGUAGAACACGAUGCACCGUUAAGUCAAGGUUCAGGACGACGUAUAUCGUAGCCCCAUGCUGGCUUUUUUCCAAUGCAGGACCUUCUACAUCUCUGCAUAUCAAUCCAUUUUGGACCUCAGUAAGUAACUCAGUUUGCAUCACUUCCCUUAAUUGAACUAGAUAAAGAACCAUAGGUCAGUGCUAACUGGUACCUGGGAAAGCACAUAUUGUGGAAAGUUAAAAGGGUUAUGAUGAUGAACGUAGAGUAUCAGUCCACCAAGUCAAAGUUAAUUUGAUAUGUUCAAGUUAACCAUGGAUCAAUUCUGGAAUAUUUGUUAGCUGAAAUUGUAGGCAGUUCAUCUCUGGAGUUAUACGAUCUUUUCUUGGAGUAGUCUUCCCUUCAAGUAUUUCAUCUCUUAUCUAUUAAAAUAAAUGUUAAUAGAAAAGACAUCUUUGGUCUCAAGAAUUAGUAAUACUCCCAUUUGUAUUUCCUAAUCAUAUUUUUUCAUUUUUGAAUUACACCAAACCUAUGUCUAGAUUGUAUACUACCCCGCCCAGCGUUAUUACUUUGGCUGUAUCUAACUUUAGUCAGUAAUUGAUAUACCUAUAAUUGUUGUUCUGCACCUAUGUCCACAGUCCACACUUCUCUAGAUGGUCACACUUUUGAUGUUGAACUGACUUCAGAUCUCUAAGCAAAGGAUUUGCAGCAUAUAUAGAUGCAUUAAUGCCAAUCUUUAUCACUCUGUUACGUAUCUACUCCUACCUACUUGAAUCUUCUAUUCCCAGUUAAUUAGAAAUUUUGUUAUUUGUGGACAUCUCCUAAAUACAUCAAGUAAUUUUUGUGUUAAAGAGCAGUACGUUCUGUUUUCAUUUGUGACCCAAAGGUCAGCAACGUAAAGCUUGCAUGCAUCUGAAGGCAUGUUCCAUCCUUGAAUAUAUACUAAUAUAAAGGCAUGUUACAAUUGUGUGCAGGUAGAAAAUUCAUCAUUUUAGUGUCCAUCUGAAGAAUCACAUCGUGAUAGGAACAAGGACAAUGGCUGGCAUGUUGGUAGGAAUCUGAGAUGAUAAAAAAUAGUACUCAUCCAACUGCUAACUGAAUAUGCUGGAAAUUAGCUCAUAGUUACACAUAUAUUAUUACUGGGGCAGUACUGCCCUAGACUUGCAUAUUCAGAAUUAAUUGAUCUCACACAGUAGUGCCAUUUGUCGACACACCGUAUGAUAUAUGAAUAAAACCAUAAAAGUGUAUAUGAAACUGUAUAAUCUAGCACUUCGUUUCAUGCCUACAUCAAUGCAAUGUCCUUUUUAUGUUAUCAUGGCAUACAUAGAUAAUUAAAUGAGGAUUCUUUGAUAAUGUCUCCACCUCUUGAGCUAAGCACAUGCUGUCAACAUCAUGGAACGACAUGGAGCUGCAGACAUGCACUUUGGAGCAGAGGUUGACUUGCAGCUGCAUCUGCAAUCUCCCAAACAAAUGAGCAGCACCAUGCAGUUGUGGGCUUGCAGCAGGUUGGCGGGCGAAUGGUCAUAGCAGGAAUACAACGGGCAUGUCGACUGCUGCGAGUAUUCCAUUCAAGUCGACAACUACAUUUGCAAGAGGUGUGUUGUUUACUUGGAGAAAUUUUUGAGAAAAUCAUCAAUUUAUUUAGCAUUAGUUAAAUCAGUUUGUCGAGCUGAGUUUUUUUUAUCUUGAUGGUUGUGAGAACUCUGAUGGUAGAAGAAUUCUGCUAUUGAGAUGGUUCUUCUAUUUUUUUCCUGUACUCCUACUAUUCUAAUGCAACAUCACUUUUUAGUGCUGAAGUACUAGCUUACAUCCUUUCUUUUCCCUUUUUCCCUUGAAAAGCCAGGUAGAAGUUCUGUUUAAACACUUAUAUAUAGAAUACUAAGAAUUUCUUUUUCUUCUUCUUGCUGUUGGCUGGUAGCUUUUAGUAGCAAUUUGGAUAAUUCUGUGCAUAAUAUUCUGUAUGAUUUUGGGGCAAGAAAGGUCGGGGAUUCUGUUGUGGGUGGAUCAUGGCCUCCAGAACAAUGCACACUAUAAAGUAGCCUGAGCAAGUUGUGGGGGGUGCCUUCAUAUGGUUGUUAAAUUGCUGCUCCUUUUCUAUAUGGAUUAAUGUGAAGCACCUCUAAUUUCUCUUUGAAAAAUAUGUGUCUCUUUUUGUUCGAUUUGAGUAACUCACAGUAGUUGCUUUUGAUGUUAUUGUAGUUUUACACCACUGUAUGAUCGAUGAAUUCAAGGUCUGAGGCCCGUCCAGGGGCUAGAGCAGAUUCAUCGGACGGUGGAGUUGAGUGACCCACUCAUUGAUACCAGGUGUGCUCAAGUGAAGCCAGGGAUUUGAUCCAUCCAUCUCGGAGCGCAUGAAUCAACAGAGGAUCCAUCCAGUCAAACAAGUGAAUUUAGGCUUGAUUAAUUAGCAGGAGCAUACGAGUGUCUUUUGCACAUGUAGUUUAGGUUUGUACAGGUUCAGGUAGUCAACUGUUAAGCAUGGUAGGAUCCGCAAGCUGGGCAGUAGGCAGCGUCACGGUACGAUCCAGCAGGACGGCGGAGGAGGCGGCCCGUGGUGACUGGGGAGGAUACAAAGGGGGAUGGAGAGGUUGCGGGAAAUUUAUGGGUCUGGACUGGAGCAGAGGGAGAUAGAGAAUGGGUGAGAAAGAUGGAGAUGUUGAUAGGUAAUACCUGUUGGAAAGAGAUGUUGAUAGUUUACUUUUCUUCAUCUCCAACGCAACUAUCAACUGAUGCGCUGACUGUAUCAUCACAGUUCUCAUGUAAGCAAAGGAUCUUGCUUCUUCCCAAAUUAGAUUUUGAAGUAUUUCACUUCUAUUGUUUCUCCAGGUAUACUGCAUUUGAUCACGGUUCUCAUGUGAUCGGCUACCUGCAGAUCUACAUACUAGGGCGAUAAUAUGCAAUGUAGGAGUCUUGACCAUCCAAUGAUUUAUUUGUGUUUGGUUUUGCUGCAUCGGUCAAUAUGUGCAUAUCCUUGGAUGUAGUAUUGCUUUUCCUAAGUGUGUUUUGUAGAUCAGAUAAUGAUUCGCAAUGUACUAGGAGGUUUGGACAGCAAGUGAUUGUCACCAACACCAAGGAUCAGGUUCCUGCCAGAAGAACCCAAAGCAGAGCAAGAGAAGGAAAAUGAAGGUGAAGUUGCAGGUUCUGUUGGAGAGAGGGCUUCAUCACAUACUUGCUGCGAAGGCCAUGUUGUCGAGGAGCCGGUGACUGCCGCUCCAGCUGCCUCGCGCCAUGCCCCGUCGUGUGGGGUGCAUUGUGAGAGUUCUGCAUCAGGCUCGCGCCACCGCUCCGGCAGGUACUCAACGCGCAAUCAUGGGUUGUUGUGUUAACUUGAUACAAUUGCUGAUAACAGUGAUGCGGCACUCUAGCUAAUAGGCAGUAUUGGUGUCGACUGGAGCAACUAGAGUCGCUAGCUGUUAUGCUAAAAGAAUAGGGUGGAUUUGCUUCAUGCAAGAAGACAGUAAGGAUAAAGCAGCAAAAAGCAGGCCAUUAGUGGUGAUGGAUAAUUUCUCCAAUCAAUUUAACGUAGAUGCCUUCCAACAUUGCACACUAAGCGAUUGCAUUUUUUAGAUAUAUAGAAAGGUGGCUUCUGUUUUCAAGAAAGUUGGCAUGGCGUGAUUGUUAAUUUUUUAUGCCAACAAUUACAUACGCUUGGCUGACAAGCAUACAUUCUGAAAUGAUAUUGACAUUAGACCGAACCUUUAAACCUAGCAUAUUUAUUUUUCUCACCUAAUGAUUUUUAUUAUGUAUGAUAUGUAUUGCAUAGACUGCUGGCUUUGACAUUACAAUCUGGAACUAAAUAAAUAAAAAUAGAGAAAUUCAUAUAGUGGCAGUAAAGUGCUAACAAGUUAUAAUCUGUUUUUAGUUGCAUUACAGUAAGAGGAAACCUUUAUUUUACUUGUGAGCAUUGUAAUUGUUUGCGAAGGGCUAAUGUUAAUAAGAUAUGCAUACAAAUCUUAGCCUGGAGGCCGUGCUUUGUUCAAAGUAGCUGGGUAUAUGUACAAUAAAUAAAUAUUCAUGUGUUAUCUUGGUACUGUACAAUAUUGUUGAGAGUG